UAUUAUUUUCCUAUUAGCAAUAAUAUUUCUCAAGAACCAAAAAAUGGAUGAUUUCGAUAAAAUUCUGGAAAAAUCCUGUGUGUUAGCUGGCGUAGGUUUGCAAUAAAUCAUCACGUAAGAAAAAAAAUGCCUGCAAACGGUGAGUUUAUUUUUGGGGGGAGGUAAAAGAUAAAGCCGAUAGGAUCCCUCAGACGGAGAGACGAUAAGACCCAUGCAGAGAGUUACUUUUACUCACGUUCAACCACACAGUUUAACUCCCGUCACCGCCGUAUCAAGAACACAGAGAAAUUUUUUCUAAAUUACCUGCAAAAUAUGGAUAAGAAAAGUUCAGCAAAGAGCGAAAGUAAAAGCUCCACGGAUGGUGUGAAAGCUCAGAAAAUGCCGGAAGUGCAAAAGGAAGUUGUUGAGCCACCUUGUAGGAAAGUUCAUAUCCCAAAGAUGUUUAACGUGAUAAAAGCACCAACAGUUUGCCCACCUGGCCAGCGUCUUGAUCAAAAAGGAAAUUGCCGACCGAUGUUCUGAAUUCAUUUUUCUUAUUACAUAUUUAACAUUUUUUUCUUGUAUUUGUACAUAAAUGACGUCUUGAAUAAAUUUUUGCGAUAGUA